GAUGAACGUUGGCGGUGUGCCUAAUACAUGCAAGUCGAACGGAGCUAAUAGCAAUAUUGGCUUAGUGGCGAACGGGUGAGUAACGCGUUGGUGAUCUGCCUUGAAGUGUGGAAUAACGUUCCGAAAGGAUCGCUAAUACCGCAUGUGCUCUCGAUUUUCAGAAAGUUGAGAGUAAAGGAUUUAUUCGCUUCAAGAGGAGCCUGCGUCCCAUCAGCUGGUUGGUAGGGUAACGGCCUACCAAGGCUAUGACGGGUAGGGGACCUGAGAGGGUCGGCCCCCCACAAUGGAACUGAAACACGGUCCAUACACCUACGGGUGGCAGCAGUAGGGAAUAUUAGAAAUGGACGAAAGUCUGAUCUAGCAACACCGCGUGUGCGAAGAAGGCCUUCGGGUCGUAAAGCACUUUUUGGAAGGAAUAGGAAGGAAUGUACUUCCAGAAUAAGUCUCGGCUAACUACGUG
rnacentral:rRNA from 1 species